rnacentral:rRNA from 1 species
GACGAACGCUGGCGGCGUGCUUAACACAUGCAAGUCGAACGGAAAGGCCCUGCUUUUGUGGGGUGCUCGAGUGGCGAACGGGUGAGUAACACGUGAGUAACCUGCCCUUGACUUUGGGAUAACUUCAGGAAACUGGGGCUAAUACCGGAUAGGAGCUCCUGCUGCAUGGUGGGGGUUGGAAAGUUUCGGCGGUUGGGGAUGGACUCGCGGCUUAUCAGCUUGUUGGUGGGGUAGUGGCUUACCAAGGCUUUGACGGGUAGCCGGCCUGAGAGGGUGACCGGCCACAUUGGGACUGAGGUACGGCCCAGACUGCUACGGGAGGCAGCAGUGGAGAAUAUUGCACAAUGGGCGGAAGCCUGAUGCAGCAACGCCGCGUGCGGGAUGACGGCCUUCGGGUUGUAAACCGCUUUCGCCUGUGGCGAAGCGUGAGUGACGGUAAUGGGUAAAGAAGCACCGGCUAACUACGUG